rnacentral:rRNA from 1 species
AACGUACGCUGGCGGCACGCCUAACACAUGCAAGUCGAACGAAGUAGCAAUACUUAGUGGCAGACGGGUGAGUAACAUGUGGGUAUCUGCCCUUUGGCCUGGAAUAACACGAGGAAACUUGUGCUAAUACCGGAUAAGUCUUUACGGAGAAAGCUUUAUGCACCAUUGGAUGAGCCUGCACUUGAUUAGUUUGUUGGUGGGGUAAUGGCCUACCAAGACUGUGAUCAAUAGCUGAUUUGAGAGGAUGAUCAGCCACAUUGGGACUGAGACACGGCCCAAACUCCUACGGGAGGCAGCAGUGGGGAAUCUUGCACAAUGGAGGAAACUCUGAUGCAGCGAUGCCGCGUGAGUGAAGAAGGCCCUUGGGUUGUAAAGCUCUUUCGUCGGGGAAGAAAAUGACUGUACCCGAAUAAGAAGGUCCGGCUAACUUCGUGCCAGCAGCCGCGGUAAUACGAAGGGACCUAGCGUAGUUCGGAUUUACUGGGCUUAAAGAGUUCGUAGGUGGUUAGAAAAGUUAGUGGUGAAAUCCCAGAGCUUAACUCUGGAACUGCCAUUAAAACUUUUUAGCUAGAGUAUGAUAGAGGAAAGCAGAAUUUCUAGUGUAGAGGUGAAAUUCGUAGAUAUUAGAAAGAAUACCAAUUGCGAAGGCAGCUUUCUGGAUCAUUACUGACACUGAGGAACGAAAGCAUGGGUAGCGAAGAGGAUUAGAUACCCUCGUAGUCCAUGCCGUAAACGAUGUGUGUUAGACGUUGGAAAUUUAUUUUCAGUGUCGCAGGGAAACCGAUAAACACACCGCCUGGGGAGUACGACCGCAAGGUUAAAACUCAAAUGAAUUGACGGGGACCCGCACAAGUAGUGGAGCAUGUGGUUUAAUUCGAAGAUACGCGCAGAACCUUACCAACACUUGACAUGUUCGUCGCGACUCUAAGAGAUUAGAGUUUUCGGUUCGGCCGGACGAAACACAGGUACUGCAUGGCUGUCGUCAGCUCGUGUCGUGAGAUGUUGGGUUAAGUCCCGCAACGAGCGCAACCCUCACUUUUAGUUGCCAUCAUUAAGUUGGGCACUCUGAAAGAACUGCCAGUGAUAAGCUGGAGGAAGGUGGGGAUGACGUCAAGUCCUCAUGGCCCUUACGUGUUGGGCUACACACGUGCUACAAUGGUAUCUACAACAGGAAGCAAGACUGCGAAGUUAAGCAAAUCCCUAAAAGAUACCUCAGUUCGGAUUGCACUCUGCAACUCGAGUGCAUGAAGCUGGAAUUACUAGUAAUCGUGGAUCAGCGUGCCACGGUGAAUGCGUUCCCGGGUCU